CCUUGAGUUUAAAUGAAGAAGAUGGCAGUAGUCCAUAUUUACUAGGUGGAGAAACUGAGGAAUUGAAGAUUUAAGCACUCAAGGAGCCAGAAUUAUGGAUGGUAUAUUCCCAUGCUUUCAUGAUUGCUGCAGCAGCAGAAAAGUGUGCAAUGAAAGCUUCAAGCAUGUAGAGAGAAAAACAACAGGACAUCUCACCCAAAGAGAUCAACCUCCGCAGUGGGCAAAGGUUGCCAAAAUAGGCAACCUUCUACCUGGAUCAAUUUCCACAGUAGGCGAUGGAGCCAAAGAAGCCAUGGAGAAGUUAGUUUCCACCCAGUUAUUCCUCUCCUGGCUCCAUCCUUGCUUGAAAAUUUCUUAAUGAAAAUAAGUCCUAGCUGAGCAUAGAGAAAGCAUGUCAAAGCAAAUUCUGUCUAUAUUAAACCUAUACACAUUGCUAGCAAGAUUCCACUAUUUAGUGGGAAGCAUACC
rnacentral:lncRNA from 10 species